UUUCAGCAAAGGGAGACCCGUUGUCAGCGCAGACUGUGUCCCUUAAUAGGAGAUACAGUCGGUUUACAGCCUCCCCUCCCCUUUCUACAGCCCCUUGGUACCGUGUACUGACAGUUAUAGCUGACAGUUGGAGCUGCUGUGGAGGGACCUGUUCUUCCAUCCAGCGCUGUGCAGGCAGGAAAAUGGCGCUGGAACGCUGCUGGGUCCGCUCUGAGAACCUCUGCCCCCUUAAUGGCGCUGUCUUCUCGCUUUUCAUAGAUUAUACUGGCCUGAGGUAAAACUUGCUGGCUGAGAUCCGCGGACCCCGACAGACUUGUGGACCAGUGUGGGGAUUCCUACUAUACGGUCAUCUGACAGAGUGUCCAUUUGCAUACGGUCAAGUCGGUUUUUCUCUGCAGCUGUCUUUGGCCACAAGGAACAGGGAGUAUUUGGGAGUCACCAGAACAUGAUUAGACUUGACUUUGUAUAGAAGAUAGAUCCAGAUACUAGACCCCUGAAGAAGUCCUAUGGAUGAAACGCGUUGGUUGUUAUCUACAGAUUUUGUUGAUUUCUGCAAGAAAUUGGACCAGAAAAUGUAUUCCCCACAAUCAAACACUUUCAAUACAAUUGUUUUUAAUGUUAAAUGUUUUUAUUAUGGAUAAAAUGUAUAAAUGCUGACGACGUAAAGACUGUGAGUCACUUUUUUAUUGACAUGAUGUUCAAUAUGUAAAUAAAUUUGUAUUAUUUAA